UUGCUGGCACUCACCGCCCCCAGGGCCUUUGCUCUCACAGGAACAGGCCCUUGGCCUGGAACAGCUUUGCCUACAUCGGUUCAAGCUUCGGUGUCAACUUCUGAGUCAGGAUUCCCUGACCCUGAGGCCUCAGAUCAGACGUGUGCUUCCUGUUCUCCCCACUGUAUUCUCCUCGAUUUCCCCACCUACACUUACCACCGUGUGAUGUGCUUUCUGUUUCACUUAUACAGUUAUUUUGAUGCCAGUCCUCUGCAUGAGAAUGUGAGUUCCACGGAGCAGGGUUCUUGCUGACUUGCUCACUGCCAUGUCUCCCUCCUGGAAGUGUCUGGAACAUAGUAACUGGACACUCAGCGCAUGUGUAGAAUAAAUGAAGCCGCAUGAUUUCACCACUGAAAAGAAUAAACGUGGAGCUCCGGACUGGAGGCCUAGAAUAGACCAGAAAGGAGGAUGGACUUGCCAGCCUUGGGGACCACAUGGAACCACUCGGGUACAUGAGGCUUCUUCAGGAAAGGGGAGGCUAUCACAGUGCUGCAGUUUAAAUAUCCAUGUCCAGGGCAGCCCUGGUGGCUCAGCGGUUUAGCACCGUCUUCAGCCCAGGGCCUGAUCCUGAGGACCUGGGAUCGAGUCCCAUGUCGGGCUCCCUGCAUGGAGCCUGCUUCUCCCUCUGCCUGUGUCUCUGCUCUCUGUGUCUGUCUCUCAUGAAUAAAUAAAUAAAAUCCUUAAAAAAAAAAUCCA
rnacentral:lncRNA from 12 species